rnacentral:rRNA from 1 species
AUACGGAGGAUCCGAGCGUUAUCCGGAUUUAUUGGGUUUAAAGGGAGCGUAGGUGGACAGUUAAGUCAGUUGUGAAAGUUUGCGGCUCAACCGUAAAAUUGCAGUUGAUACUGGCUGUCUUGAGUACAGUAGAGGUGGGCGGAAUUCGUGGUGUAGCGGUGAAAUGCUUAGAUAUCACGAAGAACUCCGAUUGCGAAGGCAGCUCCCGGGACUGCAACUGAAACUGAUGCUCGAAAGUGUGGGUAUCAAACAGGAUUAGAUACCCUGGUAGUCCACACAGUAAACGAUGAAUACUCGCUGUUUGCGAUACACUGUAAGCGGCCAAGCGAAAGCGUUAAGUAUUCCACCUGGGGAGUACGCCGGCAACGGUGAAACUCAAAUGAAUUGACGGGG